CGGAAAAAUGGCCAAAAGACGGGUGGGCUAUAGCCUUGGUGGGGGGAGUGGGCGAAGUUCGUCCGCGGGACUCGGAAUGGCACCAUACUUGGCGGGCGGCCUCCGUUUGCCAAAAAUAUGCCACGGGCACAGCCGCGCCCAAAAAUCAGCCCCCGAAGGUCGGGGACCCAAGACCCCCCAGUGGAAAAAUGGCCAAAAGACGGGUGGGCUAUAGCCUUGGUGGGGGGAGUGGGCAAAGUUCGUCCGCGGGACUUGGAAUUGCACCAUACUUGGCGGGCGGCCUCCGUUUGCCAAAAAUAGGCCACGGGCACAGCCGCGCCCAAAAAUCAGCCCCCGAAGGUCGGGGACCCAAGACCCCCCAGCGGAAAAAUGGCCAAAAGACGGGUGGGCUAUAGCCUUGGUGGGGGGAGUGGGCGAAGUUCGUCCGCGGGAAUCGGAAUGGCACCAUACUUGGCGGGCGGCCUCCGUGAGCCAAAAAUAGGCCACGGGCACAGCCGCGCCCAAAAAUCAGCCCCCGAAGGUCGGAGUCCCAAGAACCCCCCAGCGGAAAAAUGGCCAAAAAACGGGUGGGCUAUAGCCUUGGUGGGGGGCGUGGGCGAAGUUCGUCCGCGGGACUCGGAAUGGCCCCAGACUUGGCGGACAGCCUCCGUGUGCCAAAAAUAGGCCACGGGCACAGCCGUGCCCAAAAAUCAGCCCCCGAAGGUCGGGGUCCCAAGACCCCCCAGAGGAAAAAUGGCCAAAAGACGGGUGGGCUAUAGCCUUGGUGGGGGGAGUGGGCGAAGUUCGUCCGCGGGACUCGGAAUGGCACCAUACUUGGCGGGCGGCCUCCGUGUGCCAAAAAUAGGCGAAGUUCGUCCGCGGGACUCGGAAUGGCACCAUACUUGGCGGGCGGCCUCCGUUUGCCAAAAAUAGGCCACGGGCACAGCCGCGCCCAAAAAUCAGCCCCCGAAGGUCGGGGUCCCAAGACCCCCCAGCGGAAAAAUGGCCAAAAGACGGGUGGGCUAUAGCCUUGGUGGGGGGAGUGGGCGAAGUUCGUCCGCGGGACUCGGAAUGGCACCAUACUUGGCGGGCUGCCUCCGUGUGCCAAAAAUAGGCCACGGGCACAGCCGUGCCCAAAAAUCAGCCCCCGAAGGUUGGGGUCCCAAGACCCCCCAGCGGAAAAAUGGCCAAAAAAAGGGUGGGCUAUAGCCUUGGUGGGGGGCGUGGGCGAAGUUCGUCCGCGGGACUCGGAAUGGCCCCAGACUUGGCGGGCGGCCUUCGUGUGCCAAAAAUAGGCCACGGGCACAGCCGCGCCCAAAAAUCAGCCCCCGAAGGUCGGGGUCCCAAGACCACCCAGCGGAAAAAUGGCCAAAAAAAGGGUGGGCUAUAGCCUUGGUGGGGGGCGUGGGCGAAGUUUGUCCGCGGGACUCGGAAUGGCCCCAG
rnacentral:lncRNA from 1 species